rnacentral:misc_RNA from 1 species
AAAGAUCGCAGCCUUCGGCAGCUCCUACAGGAUUGCGCACGACUGCGCUUUUGUAGGAGCUGCCGAAGGCUGCGAUCUUU